CCUACGGGAGGCAGCAGUGAGGAAUAUUGGUCAAUGGGCGGAAGCCUGAACCAGCCAAGUAGCGUGCAGGAUGAAGGCCCUACGGGUCGUAAACCGCUUUUGCACGGGGAUAACACCCUCCCCUUGUGCAGGUCUGCGGGUACCGUGCGAAUAAGGGCCGGCUAAUUCCGUGCCAGCAGCCGCGGUAAUACGGAAGGCCCGAGCGUUAUCCGGAUUCAUUGGGCUUAAAGGGAGCGUAGGGGGGCGUUCAAGUCAGCUGUAAACUCGCGGGGCUCAACCGCGCCCCGCAGUUGAAACUGGACGCCUUGAGUGCACAAAAGGAAGGCGGAAUGCGUGGUGUAGCGGUGAAAUGCAUAGAUAUCACGAGGAACACCGAUGGCGAAGGCAGCCGGCCGGGGUGCGACUGACGCUGAGGCGCGAAGGUGCGGGUAGCAAACAGGAUUAGAUACCCCAGUAGUC
rnacentral:rRNA from 1 species